rnacentral:rRNA from 1 species
AUUGAACGCUGGCGGCAGGCUUAACACAUGCAAGUCGAACGGUAGCAGGAGAAAGCUUGCUUUCUUGCUGACGAGUGGCGGACGGGUGAGUAAUGCUUGGGAAUCUGGCUUAUGGAGGGGGAUAACGACGGGAAACUGUCGCUAAUACCGCGUAGUGUCGAGAGACGAAAGUGCGGGACUGAGAGGCCGCAUGCCAUAGGAUGAGCCCAAGUGGGAUUAGGUAGUUGGUGGGGUAAAGGCCUACCAAGCCAGCGAUCUCUAGCUGGUCUGAGAGGAUGACCAGCCACACUGGAACUGAGACACGGUCCAGACUCCUACGGGAGGCAGCAGUGGGGAAUAUUGCGCAAUGGGGGGAACCCUGACGCAGCCAUGCCGCGUGAAUGAAGAAGGCCUUAGGGUUGUAAAGUUCUUUCGGUAUUGAGGAAGGUUGAUGUGUUAAUAGCACAUCAAAUUGACGUUAAAUACAGAAGAAGCACCGGCUAACUCCUUGCCAGCAGCCGCGGUAAACGGAGGGGGCGAGCGUUAAUCGGAAUAAAUGGGCUAAAAGGGGGAGCAGGCGGUUAUUUAAUGUGAGGGUGUGAAAACCCCGGGCUCAACUUAGGGGAUACAUUUAGUACUGGGGGCCGCUU